rnacentral:rRNA from 1 species
UACGUAGGGUGCGAGCGUUGUCCGGAAUUAUUGGGCGUAAAGAGCUCGUAGGCGGCUUGUCGCGUCGGAUGUGAAAGCCCGGGGCUUAACUCCGGGUCUGCAUUCGAUACGGGCAGGCUAGAGUUCGGUAGGGGAGAUCGGAAUUCCUGGUGUAGCGGUGAAAUGCGCAGAUAUCAGGAGGAACACCGGUGGCGAAGGCGGUUCUCUGGGCAUUACCUGACGCUGAGGAGCGAAAGCAUGGGGAGCGAACAGG